rnacentral:rRNA from 1 species
UACGUAGGGUCCGAGCGUUGUCCGGAAUUAUUGGGCGUAAAGAGCUCGUAGGCGGUUUGUCGCGUCUGCUGUGAAAUCCCGAGGCUCAACCUCGGGUCUGCAGUGGGUACGGGCAGACUGGAGUGCGGUAGGGGAGAAUGGAAUUCCUGGUGUAGCGGUGGAAUGCGCAGAUAUCAGGAGGAACACCGAUGGCGAAGGCGGGUCUCUGGGCCGAUACUGACGCUGAGGAGCGAAAGACGUGGGGAGCGAACAGG